UAGGGAAUCUUCCACAAUGGGCGCAAGCCUGAUGGAGCAACACCGCGUGAGUGAAGAAGGGUUUCGGCUCGUAAAGCUCUGUUGUUAGAGAAGAACGUGCGUGAGAGCAACUGUUCACGCAGUGACGGUAUCUAACCAGAAAGCCACGGCUAACUACGUGUCAG
rnacentral:rRNA from 1 species